rfam:Picea glauca, whole genome shotgun sequence.
AUUCAAUUCCAUAUUCAUAGUGUUAAUGCAUCAGAUCCCAUUAAAACUCCACAGUUACACAUGCUUAGGCUCGAGUAGUAUUGUGAUGGGUUAUCUCCCAGGAAGUCCUAGUGUUUUACAUU